AUUUCCUUCCAAAGCAGAACGGAAAAUCACAUCUCGUCCUUUCACCAGGUUCCGCACGGCCGUCAGGGUGGUCAUUGCAAUAUUAAGAUUACGUUUUUUGGUUAAGAAAUGGCAAGAAGUAGAUCGGAAAGGAGCUCUGGCACAAGGCAAAGCCCCUCGCCCAGGUGGGACUCCAGCUGCUGUUGACCGCUGGACUCACAAACCUUUCUUUCUACUCUUGUUUUUCAUUCACUUUGGGUCAUUUUUCAGUGUUGAUGGGGACGUAAUAAAGCACGGGCCCCGAGCACGACAGCCGCAGUCUCCACCCAGAACCAGAGAGUCCCCCCCAACCCGGGAUGUACCCUCUGGCCACACCAGGGACCCUGCCAGAGGCCGCAGACUGGCAGCAGCAGCCUCCCCACACAGUGGGGGAAGAGCCACUCCAUCCCCAAAUUCAAGAUUAGAAAGAUCCCUGACUGCUUCUCAAGAUCCAGAACAUUCCUUGACAGAGUAUAUUCACCAUUUAGAAGUGAUCCAGCAAAGAUUGGGAGGGGUACUACCAGAUUCUACUUCAAAGAAAUCCUGCCACCCGAUGAUUAAACAGUGAAUAAAAUGUCAUGGCUCUUUCCUGCGACAAUUCUAUUUGAGGAAAAGAUUUGUUUUUCCCUUUUCCCAAGGAAGCUCGUGGGACAGCAUGGGCACUACUCUUCAUGUGCGGUGACACCAGCCCCCAGAUGCCUUGAAUUAAGUGUCCUCACCUUUAUGCAUGACUGCAAAGCCAGCUGGAGCAUUUUCUAUGGAGCCUCCGUAUGUUUUAGGCCCAUGACCUUCGUGAGGUGACGGGCACUCACUCCCAUGAGCCCUGGCUGUGUGCUGUUGUGUGCCUAUCGGCAGAUCCAUCCUUCCUGCCUCCAAGGAGGAUACACAGAGAAUGGCUUCCUGUUGUUUUGUUUAUUUUCUUAACGUGUACAGAUGGAAACUUCAUUUAAAAAUAAAAACAAAACAACUCAAAAAGGAAUAAAAUUUAAUCACUGUUUUGUUUG
rnacentral:lncRNA from 1 species